rnacentral:rRNA from 1 species
UACGUAGGGGGCAAGCGUUGUCCGGAAUCAUUGGGCGUAAAGAGCGUGUAGGCGGCUUGGCAAGUCUGGUGUGAAAUCUUGCGGCUCAACCGCAAGCGGUCACUGGAAACUGCCUCGCUAGAGUCCGGAAGAGGAGAGCGGAAUUCCUGGUGUAGCGGUGGAAUGCGCAGAUAUCAGGAAGAACACCCGUGGCGAAGGCGGUUCUCUGGGACGGUACUGACGCUGAGACGCGAAAGCGUGGGGAGCGAACAGG